ensembl:snoRNA small nucleolar RNA, C/D box 38B
CCUCGUGAUGAUGAGACCCUGUCCAGUUCUGCUGCUGAGUUGGAGUGACGACAGUGGUGUAUCUGAAGAGA